GCGGAAAUGCCCGGUGACAGCGGGCAAAGGGAGAGACUGGAACGCUCGACGGACUUUCUCCAUCAGCGGGCUGUUUGAGGAGCGCGGAGGAGGCUGUGCGGAGAGACCACCCAUCCUCUUCAAAACGUCUCUGCUGCCGCGGCCAGAGAGAGGGGCACUCAGAGCCACGGAGUGGCAUUGUCCCACCAUAGCCCAGGCAGCCACGGAAAGGGUCACGGGUCAUGAUAAUCUUGGGAUGAGCCACACCAAUCCGCAUACAUGCAUCGCUAAUGCGUAAAGUUACAGAUGCAGAGGAAUACUGAAGCACAACCACCUGGAUACUGCCAUGGAAUGAAUGUCCGGAUUUUCUGCUUGGACUUUUCAUAGAUGCCCUGAUGUGAUCUCAGAUUGAUCAGUUUAUCUGAGUUCAAAAUGAUCUGUUGAAAUGAGCAUUGAUGGACCAACUGACAUGAACUGAGAUGGACCCACCAAUCCGAGUUAAGAGUGAUGCGUUCAAUUGCAUUUUGGAAUAUGCAGGAAUGGAUGUGAUCCGGCUCAAAUGGAUUCACUGAUGUGACCCCAGAUGUAUCCAAAAAAGCUUAGAAAGUCCAGUAUACGCUUCUUUAGACUAGAUUGCAGUAGCCUAAAUGGCACUGGACAGGAAACAUACGUAUCACUACACAUUCUGUACUUCUUUUAGAUGUCCUCUGCACCAAUUGUAUGUUUGUGCUUUUCUUAUUAAGAGUAGGCUAUGAAUGCAUUUGUUAUGGAACUGAUAUGUUCAAAAUCUUGCCCUUUUUUCUCUGUUUUCAAAGAAAAGCAAAGAAAAGGUUUUGAAAGCACUUGAUUUCCCCAAGCUUCAUGGUCUGAAGAGGCCGAGAGGCUGUGUAAUGUGUCACAUUUUGUAUGGGUGACUCACUUUUGCCAAUUCAGUGGACUUUAAGGCUUUAA